UGGGGAAUAUUGCACAAUGGGCGCAAGCCUGAUGCAGCCAUGCCGCGUGUGUGAAGAAGGCCUUCGGGUUGUAAAGCACUUUCAGCGAGGAGGAAGGUGGUGAGCUUAAUACGCUCAUCAAUUGACGUUACUCGCAGAAGAAGCACCGGCUAACUCCGUGCCAGCAGCCGCGGUAAUACGGAGGGUGCAAGCGUUAAUCGGAAUUACUGGGCGUAAAGCGCACGCAGGCGGUUUGUUAAGUCAGAUGUGAAAUCCCCGGGCUCAACCUGGGAACUGCAUUUGAAACUGGCAAGCUAGAGUCUCGUAGAGGGGGGUAGAAUUCCAGGUGUAGCGGUGAAAUGCGUAGAGAUCUGGAGGAAUACCGGUGGCGAAGGCGGCCCCCUGGACGAAGACUGACGCUCAGGUGCGAAAGCGUGGGGCAGCAAACAGGAUUAGAUACCCUGGUAGUCCAGCGCUGUAAAACGAUGUCGAUUUUGGAGGUUGUGCCCUUGAGGCGUGGCUUCCGGAGCUAACGCGUUAAAUCGACCGCCUGGGGAGUACGGCCGCAAGGUUAAAACUCAAAUGAAUUGACGGGGUCAUAGCUGUUCCU
rnacentral:rRNA from 1 species